GCAUCGGGAAGAGGGAAAAGGAGCAAUCCGCUUUGAGAUGGCCUCGCGUCCGAUUAGCUAGUUGGUGAGGUAACGGCCCACCAAGGCAACGAUUGGUAGCCGGACUGAGAGGUUGAACGGCCACAUUGGGACUGAGACACGGCCCAGACUCCUACGGGAGGCAGCAGUGGGGAAUAUUGCACAAUGGGGGAAACCCUGAUGCAGCGACGCCGCGUGGAGGAAGAAGGUUUUCGGAUUGUAAACUCCUGUCGUUAGGGACGAUAAUGACGGUACCUAACAAGAAAGCACCGGCUAACUACGUGCCAGCAGCCGCGGUAAAACGUAGGGUGCAAGCGUUGUCCGGAAUUACUGGGUGUAAAGGGAGCGCAGGCGGACCGGCAAGUUGGAAGUGAAAACUAUGGGCUCAACCCAUAAAUUGCUUUCAAAACUGCUGGCCUUGAGUAGUGCAGAGGUAGGUGGAAUUCCCGGUGUAGCGGUGGAAUGCGUAGAUAUCGGGAGGAACACCAGUGGCGAAGGCGACCUACUGGGCACCAACUGACGCUGAGGCUCGAAAGCAUGGGUAGCAAACAGGAUUAGAUACCCUGGUAGUCCAUGCCGUAAACGAUGAUUACUAGGUGUUGGAGGAUUGACCCCUUCAGUGCCG
rnacentral:rRNA from 1 species